GUCCCUACGGGAGGCAGCAGUGAGGAAUAUUGGUCAAUGGACGAGAGUCUGAACCAGCCAAGUAGCGUGAAGGAUGACUGCCCUAUGGGUUGUAAACUUCUUUUAUAUGGGAAUAAAGUUUUCCACGUGUGGAAUUUUGUAUGUACCAUAUGAAUAAGGAUCGGCUAACUCCGUGCCAGCAGCCGCGGUAAUACGGAGGAUCCGAGCGUUAUCCGGAUUUAUUGGGUUUAAAGGGAGCGUAGAUGGGUUGUUAAGUCAGUUGUGAAAGUUUGCGGCUCAACCGUAAAAUUGCAAUUGAUACUGGC
rnacentral:rRNA from 1 species